rnacentral:rRNA from 1 species
GACGAACGCUGGCGGCGUGCUUAACACAUGCAAGUCGAACGGAAAGGCCCUGCUUUUGUGGGGUGCUCGAGUGGCGAACGGGUGAGUAACACGUGAGUAACCUGCCCUUGACUUUGGGAUAACUUCAGGAAACUGGGGCUAAUACCGGAUAGGAGCUCCUGCUGCAUGGUGGUGGUUGGAAAGUUUCGGCGGUUGGGGAUGGACUCGCGGCUUAUCAGCUUGUUGGUGGGGUAGUGGCUUACCAAGGCUUUCACGGGUAGCCGGCCUGAGAGGGUGACCGGCCACAGUGGGACUGAGAUAGGGCCCAGACGGCUACGGGAGGCAGCAGGGGGGAAUAUUGCACAAUGGGGGGAAGCGUGAUGCAGCAACGCCGCGUGCGGGAUGACGGCCUUCGGGUUGUAAACCGCUUUAGGCUGUGACGAAGCUGGAGUGACGGUAAUGGGUAAAGAAGCACCGGCUAACUACGUG